rnacentral:rRNA from 1 species
UACGGAGGAUGCGAGCGUUAUCCGGAUUUAUUGGGCGUAAAGAGCAUGUAGGCGGCUUAAUAAGUCGAGCGUGAAAAUGCGGGGCUCAACCCCGUAUGGCGCUGGAAACUGUUAGGCUUGAGUGCAGGAGAGGAAAGGGGAAUUCCCAGUGUAGCGGUGAAAUGCGUAGAUAUUAGGAGGAACACCAGUGGCGAAGGCGGCCUGCUGGACUGUUACUGACACUGAGGCACGAAAGCGUGGGGAGCAAACAGG